UACGAAGGGGGCUAGCGUUGCUCGGAAUCACUGGGCGUAAAGCGCACGUAGGCGGAUUGUUAAGUCAGGCGUGAAAGCCCCGGGCUCAACCUGGGAACCGCGCUUGAGACUGGCAUGCUCGAGUUCGGGAGAGGAUGGUGGAAUUCCCAGUGUAGAGGUGAAAUUCGUAGAUAUUGGGAAGAACACCGAUGGCGAAGGCAGCCAUCUGGACCGACACUGACGCUGAGGCGCGAAAGCGUGGGGAGCAAACAGG
rnacentral:rRNA from 1 species